rnacentral:sRNA from 1 species
GCCAGACAUGGUGGUGCAUGCCUGUAAUCCCAGUGGCUCAGGAGGCUGAGAUAGGAGGAUUGGGAGUUCAAAGCCAGCCUCAGCAACAGCGAGGCACUAAUGAGACCCUGUCUCUA